GAUGAACGCUGGCGGCGUGCCUAAUACAUGCAAGUCGAGCGAACAGACGAGGAGCUUGCUCCUCUUACGUUAGCGGCGGAAGGGUGAGUAACACGUGGAUAAACUACAUAUAAGACUGGGAUAACUUCGGGAAACCGGAGCUAAUACCGGAUAAUAUAUUGAACCGCAUGGUCCAAUAGUUAAAGACGGUUUUGCUGUCACUUAUAGAUGGAUCCGCGCCGCAUUAGCUAGUUGGUAGGGAACGGCUUACCACGGCAACGAUGCGUAGCCGACCUGAGAGGGUGAUCGGCCACACUGGAACUGAGACACGGUCCAGACUCCUACGGGAGGCAGCGGUGGGGAAUCUUCCGCAAUGGGCGGAAGCUUGACGGAGCAACGCCGCGUGGGUGAUGAAGGUCUUCGGAUCGUAGAACUAUGUUAUUAGGGAAGAACAAAUGUGUAAGUAACUAUUCACGUCUUGACGGUACCUAAUCAGAAAGCCACGGCUAACUACGUG
rnacentral:rRNA from 1 species